CGUGCAAGUAAUUGAGAGCUCAUCAUAGUAAAAUUUUUAGUUUUUCUUACUAUAAUUCUAUUUAAUUUAGAGUAUUCCUCCCUUUUCUCUAUUUUUAUUCCUUCUCCAAUCAGUUUUUUCAAUCUGUACUUUCUUGUCUUAUGCGCUUUUAAAUACAUACCCUACUUUUUUUCCCUGAUGCUGAUGAAACCAUUAUUGCAAUUAGCUAAGAUACCAUCAGUAGUGUGUUGCUUUCACCCUCCUUCCAGAAUAGGCAGUUAUAAACUAGGUUCUUCAGAGUGAGAAUUCUUGACCAAGGAAAAUGUUUUAAAGAUUGACUUUUUAUAUAUUAACCUCUUCUCUUUCAAAACCUCUACCUUGUAGUAGGUUAUGGAAAACUCCUUCAUCUCAUGGGGGAUGUAAAUUUUGCUUAAGUUUGUGAAUGUCUCCUAGUCCUCAUGCCAUUUCUCCAUCAGACUAAUGGCAUUCCUUCAGGUAUCAUCUAAAUGCCAUUUUUUUUUUCAGGGAAGGUGCCUGUAAGUCCCAAGACAAGGAUAAAUCUUCUGUUGUGAAACUACACUAUAAUUCAUCUCUUAUAUCUGUCUUGGUCUGAUUGUAAGCUUCAGAAGAGCAGAAACAACCAGUGUUCUGUCUACUUCCACAUCUCCUGACACCAAUCAUGUAGUAGACACUGAUUAAAGACUUACUGAGUGGAAAUUGAAUCUGACCUAGUUAAAGACCAACCAAGCUGCAACCAGGCUGGUUUGGAAGCUCAAGAGCUUUAUCAGUCAUGGUAGGCUACACCACACUGUCAGGCUUUUUAACAGAGACAUUUUUUUUUGUUUUUUUUAACAAAAAGACAUGGUUUGGUCAGUAGCAGGAUUAAAUGUAGAAUUUUGCAUUUAGCUGCAAAUACAGUGGAAUUGCAAGUUUAUUGCAAUUUACAAAAUUCCAAAAGAUAUGGCAAAUAUUUUUGCCUAUUGCAUUUUUGUAAGUAUUUAUUUUGGGAAGAGGCUGAAAAUUUAACCUUCUUUUCAUGGUCUCUUUCUUGUCUUAUUUAUGUCUAAAAGAAACUGAUAUGAAAUGAACUGGAAACUUUAGGAUUCUCUUUGUUCUUUUUAAACUCUUAUUAAAACAAUAUGGAGAGAACACUGAAAUUGGUCUCAUAAGCUCCAGAUUCCAGUUCCCAAUCAACCAUGUUUUCUCUUCUAUAAAACACAGACAAUAAUAAUGCCAAUUGCAUAGAAUUGUUGUGAAGAUUAACUGAGAUGAUUCAUAUAAGACAUUGAGUGCAGGGCCUAGCAAAUAGUAAGUGCUCAUUAAAUGAUGAUGAUGGUGAUGAUAAUGGUGAUGGAUGCUAAAUUACUUAAUAUAUCUGAAUACUUCCUGUUUAAUCUACAUCACAGUAUUGGGAAGUCAUGUAAAAAUGAGAAAAAAAUAUAUGAAAGCACUCUGGAAACUACUUAAUUCUAAUGUACAACAUUAAUAAUAGUAACAAUGGGAGUGGUAAGUAAUGGUAAGCAUAAAUGUUUCACGUGGAUCUAACUCCUAAGUCAUGCAAGGAGCACUCAGUUCUGUUCAGAACAUACUGUGUUCUCUUUCUCUUUCUGUUUCCUUGCUUGGGAAAUCAAGAGUUAUGACUGGGAAUGUAGUUUAAAUGAGCCAGCAAAACACUCAUCAAACGGUUUAUUUUCCUAAUCUUGGUGUAUCAAUUUCAAAACCUGAAAAGUUCAUUUCAUAUUUCACAGGCUCUUUUAUAUAUAGUGUCAUAAAUGCCAAGAAAGUUGUUGACUUAACUUUACAUUUGUGAAAAGUAACCCUUAGUUGGCAAACAAAUACUCCUGAACUGAAGGAGAUAAGCUUCCUGUAUACUUGCAAGUCGCUGCUUUUUGUUUUGUUUCAUUUUCAAAAAACAAAAGACUUUUGGUUGCUUAAAUUCUUAUCACAAAUAGCACAAAUUUCCAGAUUCUCAGCUGUGUUGAGGUCUCUAGCAGAAGUUCAUUGCAUUUUCUGCCAGCAUUCUCCUUUAGAGGUGCUUUUACAACCAAUCUUUAAGCUUGCUAAGGUUCAAAUCACAGCUAACUCUUCCUGUUCAAAGCCACUGAAGAAAGACAUAUUUCAGAGAAUCUAAACGUGGGAAAAUUCUGUGCAUAAUCUCAGAACUUCAACUUUCUAUCCCAUCAAAUUUGACUUAAUAAAACUUCUCUUUCUCUCCUCUUUGUUUAGCAAUAUUAAUGAAAAAUGAAUACAGGGUAAGAAACAGAAGGAAAAGAGGCAAAAAUAGAGUAUGGAGUACUUAAAAUUUGUAACUAGCCUUUGAAGCAUUUUUAUUCAUGUUAUUCGGCAGAUGCCUUCUGAAAAGUUUUCUGUUCAACAGAGUCAUAAAAUGUUAGCCCUAGAAGGUGCCUUGAAGACCACGAUGAGUUAACUUUCUUCCUUUGCCAAGGAAGAAGCGAUUACUUCAGCAACUGUAAAUAUCAAAAACCAAUCCUGGCAUACUUCCUUCAGAGAGUUUUGUUGUAAGCCAUUGUAUGGAAAUAUUGGAGUCUGUUUUAAGGAAAGUUCUCAUCAAGGUAUAACCAGCUCUAUCAUGUUGCAUUGUGCUUGAUGACUUGGGGAAUGAUCAUUAUGACGGUCAGAAUCUGCUGGAGCAAAGAUGUGUCUUCUCUGUGUAACUUCACAUAGUGGAAGGAGUCAGGAACCUCUCUGAGGUCUCUUCUAUAAGAGGACUAAUCCCAUUCAUAAGGAGCGGUAUUUAUACCCCAGCAGGACUUGCUUGAAUACAAGGAACGCCAUCUAAUGAAAAUCCCAUGCCGCAGGCUGAGCUGGA
rnacentral:lncRNA from 1 species